AGAUUGCAAGAAAGCUCACAGCAGUGAACUGUAACAAAUGGGAACCUUGAUUUCAAUAGCAUCACAUUCUUGGGAUGCAUGGAUACAGUGAAGUCUUCCAUGGAGAUUUUGAACUCCAAAGCCUCGCAUCUUCCUUGGAGGUGCUGCAAUCAAAGGUCAGCUCUGCUCUGGUCCAGACUCUGUGGUUCAGCGCUGGAGAGGGCCGAGGUCACACAUUAUAUUAUCAAGGAAGCAGGGCUGCCUGAGUGCAGCACCACAGGUACUAACUAUAGAGCUGGAGAGCACUCAAAUCCAGGAUGCAGAGAUUCAGAAGUGUAGGUUGAGAGAGCGCUCAGAUUCUGCUGAAGCUGGUGCGUUGAGCAUCCUCUGUACUUCAUCUGCCUGCUCAUGCACUCCCUGGUGAGUUCAACAACCCUGAAAAAUUAGAAUUGGCUCAAUUCGACCAGCUCAGCGGUGCAUGAGUACCAAGGGGAUUUUUUUUUUCCUUUUUAUUUGACUUGCAGGAAACUACCUUCAAUGAGAUUUUAUAGUCUCUUGAAGCCUGGAGACUUUUCCCCCAUACUUUUGUCUUGUAAUGUCCUGAUAAAAGUAUAAAACAAAACUUGAUGAAUUUCAUCCAAUUUGAGCUUCCUCAUUUAUAGUAGCCUGCAAGAAAAUGCUGGGCACAUUUCACUUCUAAUGAUUUAAUUCUAAUUAGUAUUUAUACUAUCUUCUAAUUCCAAUAAUACACUGCUAAAUGAGUGUAGAAAUGUAUUUAUUGAUUCACGCAUGAACAGUAUAACAUCAUGCAUUCAGAUGUUGUUGAGAUAGCUAGAAAGAUAUGUAUUCACACAUUUUCUAAAUUUUCCCACAUUCUUUGAUUAUAAUCCUUCUUUUUAUAUUUCUUACUGUGAUAAUGAGUCUUCUAAAUUGCUAUUUGUAAUAAAUUUUGAGCAAGAUUAUUCA
rnacentral:lncRNA from 1 species